rnacentral:rRNA from 1 species
AGUGAACGCUGGCGGUAGGCCUAACACAUGCAAGUCGAACGGCAGCACAGUAAGAGCUUGCUCUUACGGUUGGCGAGUGGCGGACGGGUGAGGAAUACAUCGGAAUCUACUUUUUCUUGGGGGAUAACGUAGGAAAACUUACGCUAAUACCGCAUACGACCUACGGGUGAAAGCAGGGGAGCUUCGGACCUUGCGCGAUUGAAUGAGCCGAUGUCGGAUUAGCUAGUUGGCGGGGUAAAGGCCCACCAAGGCGACGAUCCGUAGCUGGUCUGAGAGGAUGAUCAGCCACACUGGAACUGAGACACGGUCCAGACUCCUACGGGAGGCAGCAGUGGGGAAUAUUGGACAAUGGGCGCAAGCCUGAUCCAGCCAUACCGCGUGGGUGAAGAAGGCCUUCGGGUUGUAAAGCCCUUUUGUUGGGAAAGAAAAGCAGCAGGUUAAUACCCCGCUGUUCUGACGGUACCCAAAGAAUAAGCACCGGCUAACUUCGUG